AACCCUGACCGAGCAACGCCGCGUGAGUGAAGAAGGUUUCGGAUCGUAAAGCUCUGUUGUAAGAGAAGAACGAGUGUGAGAGUGGAAAGUUCACACUGUGACGGUAACUUACCAGAAAGGGACGGCUAACUACGUGCCAGCAGCCGCGGUAAUACGUAGGUCCCGAGCGUUGUCCGGAUUUAUUGGGCGUAAAGCGAGCGCAGGCGGUUAGAUAAGUCUGAAGUUAAAGGCUGUGGCUUAACCAUAGUACGCUUUGGAAACUGUUUAACUUGAGUGCAGAAGGGGAGAGUGGAAUUCCAUGUGUAGCGGUGAAAUGCGUAGAUAUAUGGAGGAACACCGGUGGCGAAAGCGGCUCUCUGGUCUGUAACUGACGCUGAGGCUCGAAAGCGUGGGGAGCAAACAGGAUUAGAUACCCUGGUAGUCCACGCCGUAAACGAUGAGUGCUAGGUGUUGGGUCCUUUCCGGGACUCAGUGCCGCAGCUAACGCAUUAAGCACUCCGCCUGGGGAGUACGAACGCAAGGUUGAAAC
rnacentral:rRNA from 1 species